CUCGCCCUCGCAGCCGCCGCCGAUCCCCUCCCCCAUCUUCCUCCCUCAAACACUAACCCGUCUCGUGGUGCGCCACCGCCCGUCGCGGCCGCCCCCGCCACCUCCCGCUGCGGCCGCCGCCCCAGCUCCAGCCGUGGCCGUCGCACCCAGAUCCAGCCGUGGCCGCUGCCCUGCGCGCCAUCGACCCCUUCCCCCGCCGCCGCGCCACAUGUCCACUUCGCCUGCGCACCAGAGAGGACCCCGCCGCCAUGCCUCCGUUUCCCCCUACUCCUCUUUUCUGCUACCUAUCUCUCUCCUCUGAGCUGCGCGUCGUUCCUCUCUACAGGUGCCGCCAUGGCCGCGUCAUGGAGCUCGCCGCCGUGGGCUGCGUGCCCCUCCGAUGACGGCCUGCCUCGCCCACGUCCAGGUCCUCUCAAUCCUAAUUUGGGCGUCCAUUUAUUUUGCGCUUGAUCCCGGUUUUGGCGGGUUUUUCAUCCUCAUCGCGUGUUUCAUGGUGGCCGCUAGGGUGCCCCUGCCGGCCAUCUGCCAUCUGCUCCAGGGGCACCCUCCAGGAACACACAGCGACUGCUAAGCCAUCGUCCUAUUUUGCUUCUCCCUACACAUCCUUACUAAGAGAAAGGGGCCUGCCCAGCUAGCAGCAGCUUCCUAGCUGGAAGAUGCAUAGCCAUAACGCACGCAUCGAUUGUUAGUUUUAAUCUUGUCAUGGUCAUGUAUCUGCAUGGGAGAUGCUGAGGGCCGUGUGAUGCGGCAGCUUGGUGAGAUGUCGUUGGCGUGAAGCUGCGGUGGUGCAUGCAUGUACUAGGAUAUUAUCUAGUUAGUUAGUGCAUGGUUAGUUGAGGUAUGGCCGAGUGAUUUGGUCAAGUUAAUUAGUACGUGUAUGUAGCAGAUGGAGGUUGCAUGCAGCUGCAGUAGUGGAGUAGUUGGACACGUCCUAAACGUGAGCAUAGGAAACGGAUCAGGGAGUUGCCUCCUGGCCGUGCUAGCUGUUGUAUAUAAGUAUUGCAUUGAUUGAUUGAAUGAAAUGUGAAGCCGUGAGGGCUGAGAAAAAGAUGUAGCCACGGCUGACCAAGAGGAAGGUGUCUCUUGGCAAAGCUAUUGCCUCCUUCUUCCUUGGUCCAUGCGUGGGUGUGUGUGUGUUUUCUGAGAAUUUUUUCCAUUGUGUGUGUUUGAGAGAAACCACAAGAGAGAAGGUUGAGCUGUGAGAGACAGCCAAGAAGAAGAAGAAGAAGGCGCUGCGAGGAGGCGGCGCCAUCAAUUGGCAUCAGAGCCUUGUUGAUCCGUGGUGGCUAUGGUGGCCGGCGUGGCGGUGGCGGCGGCAGCGGCGACGUGAUGGAUUCCAUGCGAGGUGGAGGUCGUCGGCGGUGCGAUGCCGCUGGUGGCCUGCUACGAUGCGAUGCCGCAAGAUGGUGAUGGUGGUGCGACGUUGCCACAAGGACGGUGUGAUGCCGUUACAAGGAGAAGGCUGGGUGGCGGCGAUGCCCCUGUCGUCUGCCUGCAGCGUGAGGCCGUUAGGAGGUGGAGACGGGGUGGUGAUGGGAGGUGUCAUCCACGUCAAGAGCUGGCUGCGGUGUUCGGCAAGACAGUGUGAUGGCGCGUGCGUACGUCGGGGCGGAGGUUCAUGGGGCACCAGCGGGAGGCUAGGUGCUGCACCAUGUGUCCAUGAACACGACAACGGACAGUCCAUGGUGAAGUUAGUUGUAUGCCGGCAUGUGUCGUGCUCGCCGAAGGCAAGGUACGAUGACCCAGCUGUGAUGAGGAUAGCAGUGGUGGUGUACCAACGGCAAGCUCCAUGAGAUGUGGAGGUCACAGUGGCGGUAGAAUCCAUGAGACGUGGAGGCCGCAGGUGGUGGCAGACUUCGUGAGAUGCGGAGGCCGGUGAGGUGGCCAUGGCUACCAUCGCAGGAGGGUUCGUGUGAUGCUGAUUGCGAACACAAGUGCAGCGGCAAGGUUUCUGUGGUGACAUGCGGCGGCGCUGCGAGGAAUGCGUCGUCCACGGCAAGGUGAUGUUGCGGCAAGAGGAUGUAGGUGAUCUGCAUCAAAAAAUUAGAGGAGUUGACAUGGCAAGAUUAGGGGGUUGAAUGUUAGUUUUAAUCUUGUCAUGGUCAUGUAUCUGCAUGGGAGAUGCUGAGGGCCGUGUGAUGCGGCAGCUUGGUGAGAUGCCGUUGUGGCGUGAAGCUGCGGUGGUGCAUGCAUGUACUAGGAUAUUAUCUAGUUAGUUAGUGCAUGGUUAGUUGAGGUAUGGCCGAGUGAUUUGGUCAAGUUAAUUAGUACGUGUAUGUAGCAGAUGGAGGUUGCAUGCAGCUGCAAUAGUGGAGUAGUUGGACACGUCCUAAACGUGAGCAUAGGAAACGGAUCAGGGAGUUGCCUCCUGGCCGUGCUAGCUGUUGUAUAUAAGUAUUGCAUUGAUUGAAUGAAAUGUGAAGCCGUGAGGGCUGAGAAAAAGAUGUAGCCACGGCUGACCAAGAGGAAGGUGUCUCUUGGCAAAGCUAUUGCCUCCUUCUUCCUUGGUCCAUGCGUGGGUGUGUGUGUGUUUUCUGAGAAUUUCUUCCAUGGUGUGUGCUUGAGAGAAACCACAAGAGAGAAGGUUGAGCUGUGAGAGACAGCCAAGAAGAAGAAGAAGGCGCUGCGAGGAGGCGGCGCCAUCGAUUAGGAGCAGUUUAUCACGCAGCUUGUACGCAUGCCGCCGCCGCCUUUUCGCCUCGUGCCUAUAUUGUGGCGGGUGAACAAGGGAAUCUCGCUGGAGGCCCUUUUGGAAGGGAUCUCGGUGGCGCACCGCCGUUGCGUGUCGUUCGUCGGUAUAAGCAUUGUCGGACGGUCGAUGUCCGUUGUAUGUUUCAUUAGCUAUAUGUUUCUGCAGUUUGAUAUAAUGUUUUUGUGGCGUAGAUCUACAAGAGAUCAAGAAGGGUGAUGUUCUGGAUGCUGAUCUCGACUAAUAGUUGCCGGAUGAACUAUGCAAUGACAGCAUGGAUGAGUUCACAUUUACCUGGUGGACCAUCACCAACCGGAUGGAGGUGAAGCAAGUGGGCAAGUUAGGGAAAUGCUCGGAAGGCUAUCGAGAAGAUCAACGAUCUUAACCCCACGAUCCUAAUUUCAGUUUGUACCUCGUUGUUGGGCUGUCAGAAAAGUUUGGAGCAGGAGCAAUGAUAUGACAAUUGUGGCUAACUUUCUUGUCAUUAGUCAUAUAUGUGCUAAUGGACCUUCCGGGUUCUCCAUUAUGUUUACCGGCCGGUUUCUCAUCUGAAAAAUACCCAUAGCAUAGUGGACAAUGCUUUUUUUGGUCAGAAGUAGUAUUUCUACAUGAAACUAAGGUAUAUAUGCGUAUGAGAAAUGUGGCUUAUCUUUAGAUAAUGCUUUUUUUGUUAGAAGUUGUUUUUCUACAUGAAACUAAGGUAUAUAUGCGUAUGAGAAAUUAUAUCUUUGCUUAACUCAAAAAAUUGUAUUUGCUCCUUUUAGCGGGAGCCUGGAGGUAAUACGGUUUGUACAGCAUGGUUUGAAUAAGAUAUUGUUUGUAUACUGUUGAGUGAAGUAUUGUAUAACUACUGUAAAGUGGGUGUAGGUUUUUAUUGUGCAUUUUUCACAGAGGUUUGGGCGUUUGGACACAACCAUAUGUACAAGUUGAAGCCUUCAUUUGCUUUGAAGUUUUCUCAAGAAGAACUAGCACCAAGAGCCGAGUAAACGCAAGCAUUUCUUUAGGAAACAAAGAAAACUAUAGCAACUAUUUGAUGUUUCUCGACGCUUGAAGACAACAAGUGAAGUUGCUACCAUCUUACAAGCCAAAGUCAUGAGAAAGGAGCACUGAAGUGUGAUUCAUGCAGCUUUGUGUGCGAUUCACAUUUACCCGGUGGACCAUCACCAACCGGAUGGAGGUGAAGCAAGUGGGCAAGUCAGGGAAAUGCUCGGAAGGCUAUCGAGAAGAUCAACGAUCUUAACCCCACGAUCCUAAUUUCAGUUUGUACCUCGUUGUUGGGCUGUCAGAAAAGUUUGGAGCAGGAGCAAUGAUAUGACAAUUGUGGCUAACUUUCUUGUCAUUAGUCAUAUAUGUGCUAAUGGACCUUCCGGGUUCUCCAUUAUGUUUACCGGCCGGUUUCUCAUCUGAAAAAUACCCAUAGCAUAGUGGACAAUGCUUUUUUUGGUCAGAAGUAGUAUUUCUACAUGAAACUAAGGUAUAUAUGCGUAUGAGAAAUGUGGCUUAUCUUUAGAUAAUGCUUUUUUUGUUAGAAUUUGUUUUUCUACAUGAGACUAAGGUAUAUAUGCGUAUGAGAAAUUAUAUCUUUGCUUCACCCAAAAAAUUGUAUUUGCUCCUUUUAGCGGGAGCCUGGAGGUGAUACGGUUUGUACAGCAUGGUUUGAAUAAGAUAUUGUUUGUAUACUGUUGAGUGAAGUAUUGUAUAACUACUGUAAAGUGGGUGUAGGUUUUUAUUGUGCACUUUUCACAGAGGUUUGGGCUUUUGGACACAACCAUAUGUACAAGUUGAAGCCUUCAUUUGCUUUGAAGUUUUCUAAAGAAGAACUAGCACCAAGAGCCGAGUAAACGCAAGCAUGUCUUUAGGAAAUAGAGAAAACGGCAGCAACUAUUUGAUGUUUCUCGACGCUUGAAGACAACAAGUGAAGUUGUUGCUACCAUCUUACAAGCCAAAGUCAUGAGAAAGUCGGGUGUUAAAAUGUUGGGAGAUUACAAAGUUCAUGCUCUAUUCACACAUGGUGGAGGCAACCCAACAAGUUGUUACGGGAGCCAGCAGAGAAAGGAGUCGAGGAACCCGCAUCAUGGGAGAGUCAUCGAGGGGCAUCCGGAUAAAGCCUAAAUACUGGAUGAGAUUCUCAUUGCCGGCAUUCUUCAUGAACCUAUCAAGGAGAACAUUUCAAUACUAAUUGAAGCACAUGUUUUCUCACCACCGGCUAUCAAGAAGAGAGUAUGAUUUUCUAAUGCUCAGUGUUGUAAGCUUGAUUCACGAGGAGCUUCUCAAUGUUGUACAUGUUGUUUGUGAGUAACAGAAAUAAAUCAUUUCCUGGAAUCAGACGCUAUAUUUUCUGUGGGAAUUCGUUGACACAGUUCCUUACAACACUGAGAAUCUUCGAAAUGGGCAAACCGCUCUAUGUAAUUCUAUCAUCCAUUCUGAUUUUGAGACAAGUAUAUCAGUUAUCUUUUUCCUUCUAGCAAGGCUAUCUGGAAUGAUUGCAUGUAUUAAUGAAGUAGUCCACGUUAGGUGGAUUGGCUCAAAAUGGAGAAGCAUGAUUGUAUUAAGCAUUUAAGCUCUAAGCAAUUUAGAAUGUCAAUGUCUUGGGGCUCCCUUGCAAUAUUUCAGAGAACUAUAUUUUUUCAGACAUUUUAUAUUGUCUCACGAUGUUUGGGGGAUCUGAUUAGGUAUUGUUUCUCUAUAUAUCUAUCUAUCUCUCUAUUUUAGUUGCUAAUAGAAUAAUGAACAAUUGAUAGGACUAAUCUUAUAGACUUGUGUUCUUCUCAAUCCGACUGUGUAUUUUCCAAGUUUUGUGCUAAAACGGGAAAAAUCAUAUGUUUUAAACUUGCGACAACAUAUUCUCUGUGCAAAUUUUAGCCUUGUUGUUCACAAUUGAUGCUGCCUGUGAUUCACACUUAUAUUUGAGCUUAAAGUCUGAGUGUAUACCGAAUUAGGCUUUCCCUUCGGUCGGUUUAUGUCAGAGUUCACACUACAACACACAUUUCCUUUUGAGUCUUAUGUGAGUUAUUCUUGAACCGAUACACCAAAUCAGGCGUUACACUGCUCAAACAAACUAGAAGAAAAUCAUCAAUGGAUUUAUCACAAUAUUAUAAAAAUACAAAUAAAUGUAUACACAAUUUUUUAACAAUAAAUGUUAUCAAAGAUUGAUGUA